rnacentral:rRNA from 1 species
GAUGAACGCUGGCGGCGUGCUUAACACAUGCAAGUCGAGCGCUGAAGGCCGGGCCUUUGUCGGGUUGGGUUAGUGGCGAACGGGUGAGUAACACGUGAGUAACCUGCCCUCUACUUUGGGAUAACGCCCGGAAACGGGAGCUAAUACCGGAUAUUCACUUAUCUUCGCAUGUGCGUUGGUGGAAGGGGUUUUUCUUGUGGCGUAUGGGCUCGCGGCCUAUGCGCUUGUUGGUUGGGUGAUGGCCGACUAAGGCAUUCACGGGUAGCUGGCCGGGGAGGGUGACCGGUCACCUUGGGACUGGGCUACGGCCCAGCCGCCUGCGGCAGGCAGCAGUGGGGCAUAUUGCGCAAUGGGCGAAAGGCUGAUGCAGCGACGAGGCGUGAGGGAUGGAGGCCUUCGGGUUGUAGACAUCUUUCGCUAAUGAUCAAGCCGCAAAUGUGGCUUGUGGUGAGGGUAGUGGGUCAAGAAGCGCCGGCUAACUACGUG